rnacentral:rRNA from 1 species
CCUACGGGAGGCAGCAGUGGGGAAUAUUGCACAAUGGGGGGAACCCUGAUGCAGCAACGCCGCGUGGGUGAAGAAGUACUCCGGUAUGUAAAGCCCUGUCAGCAGGGAAGAAAAUGACGGUACCUGACCAAGAAGCCCCGGCUAACUACGUGCCAGCAGCCGCGGUAAUACGUAGGGGGCAAGCGUUAUCCGGAUUUACUGGGUGUAAAGGGAGCGUAGACGGCGAUGCAAGUCUGAAGUGAAAGGCGGGGGCCCAACCUCCGGACUGCUUUGGAAACUGUAUGGCUGGAGUGCAGGAGAGGUAAGUGGAAUUCCUAGUGUAGCGGUGAAAUGCGUAGAUAUUAGGAGGAACACCAGUGGCGAAGGCGGCUUACUGGACUGUAACUGACGUUGAGGCUCGAAAGCGUGGGGAGCAAACAGGAUUAGAUACCCCAGUAGUC